UUUCAGCUUUCUGGCCUGCUACUGUGUUAUGGUUGUGGUUCAUGUGUGUCGUACUCUACUUUAUUAUCUUGGUACUUGCCCACAGAGGAUACAGACAUGGACACUGACUGAUUGGCCACGCCUCAAACUCCGUUAUUCAGCCUCUCCAUGUGCAAACUUUUCCUGACCCACUAAAUUGGACUCAACACAACCGACAGAUGUGAUGAACUGAAAGCUGUUUGGCUCAUUUGAACCUGGGUGGAGUCACCUUUCAAUAACAUAUCAGUAUGGCUUCUUCUGUUUUCUUGUUUGAAAUGACAUUACCCAUGUUACUAUUUUGGACUAGCACCUUGUCAAAAAAGAAAAACAAACACACCCAGUAAUGUUUUAGUGGCUUUACUGACACAAUCUUUGUCAAAAUACAAAACCGUUGAACAACAAUAAAAAGACAAUAUAUAUCAGUAGAAAGUUUGUUUCUUUGUUUUUGGAACAUACAAUAGUUAUUUGAAAACCUUUAAAUAUGUACCUUAGCUG